rnacentral:rRNA from 1 species
AACGAACGCUGGCGGCAGGCUUAACACAUGCAAGUCGAGCGCCCCGCAAGGGGAGCGGCAGACGGGUGAGUAACGCGUGGGGAUCUACCCAUCUCUACGGAAUAACACAUGGAAACGUGUGCUAAUACCGUAUACGUCCUUCGGGAGAAAGAUCUAUCGGAGAUGGAUGAGCCCGCGUUGGAUUAGCUAGUUGGUGGGGUAAAGGCCUACCAAGGCGACGAUCCAUAGCUGGUCUGAGAGGAUGAUCAGCCACACUGGGACUGAGACACGGCCCAGACUCCUACGGGAGGCAGCAGUGGGGAAUAUUGGACAAUGGGCGCAAGCCUGAUCCAGCCAUGCCGCGUGAGUGAUGAAGGCCCUAGGGUUGUAAAGCUCUUUCACCGGUGAAGAUAAUGACGGUAACCGGAGAAGAAGCCCCGGCUAACUUCGUGCCAGCAGCCGCCGUAAAAC